AAUCAUGUGAUGAGGAAAAAACUGCAACAAUAUGAUGGAUUUGUUCCGUGAUUCGUUGUAUUUAAGUCUCUGAUGAUU